GAUGAACGCUGGCGGCGUGCCUAAUACAUGCAAGUCGAGCGAUCAAACUUGGUGCUUGCACCAAUUUGAAUAGCAGCGGACGGGUGAGUAACGCGUGGGUAAUCUUCCUUUGAGCCGGGGACAACAUCUGGAAACGAAUGCUAAUACCGCAUAAUACCUUUAAACAUAAGGUUUAAGUGUGAAAGAUGCAUUUGCCUCUCUCAAAGAUGAUCCCGGGUUUUAUUAGCUAGUUGGUGGGGUAAAGGCUCACCAAGGCGAUGAUACGUAGCCGCCCUGAGAGGAGGAUCGGCAAAACUGGAACUGAGACACGGCCCAGACUCCGACGGGAGGCAGCAGAGGGGAAUUUUGGACAAAGGGCGAAGGCCUGACGGAGCAAGCCGGGGGGGGUGAGGAGGGUCUCCGGUUGGUAAACCCCGUUGGUUGGGAAAGAAGAUGGGGAGAGGUAAAAGCUCAUGUAGUGACGGUAACUAACCAGAAAGCGACGGCUAACUACGUG
rnacentral:rRNA from 1 species